rnacentral:rRNA from 1 species
AGUGAACGCUGGCGGUAGGCCUAACACAUGCAAGUCGAACGGCAGCACAGUAGGAGCUUGCUCUUACGGGUGGCGAGUGGCGGACGGGUGAGGAAUACAUCGGAAUCUACUUUUUCGUGGGGGAUAACGUAGGGAAACUUACGCUAAUACCGCAUACGACCUACGGGUGAAAGCAGGGGAUCGUCGGACCUUGCGCGAUUGAAUGAGCCGAUGUCGGAUUAGCUAGUUGGCGGGGUAAAGGCCCACCAAGGCGACGAUCCGUAGCUGGUCUGAGAGGAUGAUCACCCACACUGGAACUGAGACACGGUCCAGACUCCUACGAGAGGCAGCAGUGGGGAAUAUUGGACAAUGGGCGCAAGCCUGAUCCAGCCAUACCGCGUGGGUGAAGAAGGCCUUCGGGUUGUAAAGCCCUUUUGUUGGGAAAGAAAAGCAGCAGGUUAAUACCCCGCUGUUCUGACGGUACCCAAAGAAUAAGCACCGGCUAACUUCGUG